rnacentral:rRNA from 1 species
GACGAACGCUGGCGGCGUGCUUAACACAUGCAAGUCGAACGGAAAGGCCCUGCUUUUGUGGGGUGCUCGAGUGGCGAACGGGUGAGUAACACGUGAGUAACCUGCCCUUGACUUUGGGAUAACUUCAGGAAACUGGGGCUAAUACCGGAUAGGAGCUCCUGCUGCAUGGUGGGGGUUGGAAAGUUUCGGCGGUUGGGGAUGGACUCGCGGCUUAUCAGCUUGUUGGUGGGGUAGUGGCUUACCAAGGCUUUGACGGGUAGCCGGCCUGAGAGGGUGACCGGCGACAUUGGGACUGAGAUACGGCCCAGACGCCUACGGGAGGCAGCAGUGGGGAAUAUUGCACAAUGGGCGGAAGCCUGAUGCAGCAACGCCGCGUGCGGGAUGACGGCCUUCGGGGUGUAAACCGCUUUCGCCUGUGACGAAGCGUGAGUGACGGUAAUGGGUAAAGAAGCACCGGCUAACUACGUG